rnacentral:rRNA from 1 species
GAUGAACGCUGGCGGCGUGCCUAAUACAUGCAAGUCGAGCGAACAGACGAGGAGCUUGCUCCUCUGACGUUAGCGGCGGACGGGUGAGUAACACGUGGAUAACCUACCUAUAAGACUGGGAUAACUUCGGGAAACCGGAGCUAAUACCGGAUAACAUGUUGAACCGCAUGGUUCAACAGUGAAAGACGGUCUUGCUGUCACUUAUAGAUGGAUCCGCGCCGCAUUAGCUAGUUGGUAAGGUAACGGCUUACCAAGGCAACGAUGCGUAGCCGACCUGAGAGGGUGAUCGGCCACACUGGAACUGAGACACGGUCCAGACUCCUACGGGAGGCAGCAGUAGGGAAUCUUCCGCAAUGGGCGAAAGCCUGACGGAGCAACGCCGCGUGAGUGAAGAAGGUCUUCGGAUCGUAAAACUCUGUUAUUAGGGAAGAACAAAUGUGUAAGUAACUAUGCACGUCUUGACGGUACCUAUUCAGAAAGCCACGGCUAACUACGUG